GACGAACGCUGGCGGCGUGCUUAACACAUGCAAGUCGAACGGUAAGGCCCUUCGGGGUACACGAGUGGCGAACGGGUGAGUAACACGUGGGUGAUCUGCCCUGCACUUCGGGAUAAGCCUGGGAAACUGGGUCUAAUACCGGAUAGGACCACUGCCUGCAUGGGUGGUGGUGGAAAGCUUUUGCGGUGUGGGAUGGGCCCGCGGCCUAUCAGCUUGUUGGUGGGGUGAUGGCCUACCAAGGCGACGACGGGUAGCCGGCCUGAGAGGGUGACCGGCCACACUGGGACUGAGAUACGGCCCAGACUCCUACGGGAGGCAGCAGUGGGGAAUAUUGCACAAUGGGCGCAAGCCUGAUGCAGCGACGCCGCGUGAGGGAUGACGGCCCUCGGGUUGUAAACCUCUUUCAGCACAGACGAAGCGCAAGUGACGGUAGGUGCAGAAGAAGGACCGGCCAACUACGUGCCAGCCGCCGCAGUAA
rnacentral:rRNA from 1 species